CUCAUACUCCCUCCGUCCGAAAAUACUUAUCAUCAAAAUAAAUAAAAGGGGAUGUAUCUAGAUGUAUUUUAGUUCUAGAUACAUCCAUUUUUGUCCAUUUUGAUGACAAGUAUUUUCGGACGGAGGGAGUACCAG
rnacentral:pre_miRNA from 1 species